rnacentral:tRNA from 1 species
AAAGCUUUAGUAUAAUUUAGUAUAUUUCACUGUCAAUGGAAAGGUAGAUAAGCUUUA